rnacentral:rRNA from 1 species
GAUGAACGCUGGCGGCGUGCCUAAUACAUGCAAGUCGAGCGAACGGACGAGAAGCUUGCUUCUCUGAUGUUAGCGGCGGACGGGUGAGUAACACGUGGAUAACCUACCUAUAAGACUGGGAUAACUUCGGGAAACCGGAGCUAAUACCGGAUAAUAUUUUGAACCGCAUGGUUCAAAAGUGAGAGACGGUCUUGCUGUCACUUAUAGAUGGAUCCGCGCUGCAUUAGCUAGUUGGUAAGGUAACGGCUUACCAACGCAACGAUGCAUAGCCGACCUGAGAGGAGGACAGGGCAAAUGGGAAAAGGGACAGGGGACAGACUCCUAAGGGAGGAAGCAGUGGGGAAGAUUGGACAAUGGGCGCAAGCCUGAUCCAGCCGUACCGAGUGAGUGAAGAAGGCCUUCGGGUUGUAAAGCCCUUUGGUUGGGAAAGAAAAGCAGCAGGUUAAGAAAGAGCGGGCCUGACGGUAACCAAAGAAUAAGCACCGGCUAACUUCGUG